AGGUGGAAGGAUGGCUUGAGCCUGGGAGAUGGAGGUUGCAGUGAGCUGAGAUCAUGCCACUACACUCUAGCCUGGGCGACAGAGCAAGAUCCUGUCU
ensembl:miRNA